GGUGGGGCAGACCCUGGGCUAGCAGGCCUCAGGGAGAACUCCAAUGGCGUCUGUGUCAGCAUGCUCACACCAGGCCACAACAAUGGCCACCGCCAAUGUCCCAGUCCCUGGAGAGGUCUCACCCCUCACCGAGAUGCACUCAGGGCCUAUUAGGUCCAUGAAAGAGUAUAUUAGUUCACAAUUUAAAGAUGAGGAAACAGGCCAAAUAACAUAAACUAAAGAAUGCCCUGAAAUCAGGGCAAAGCUAGACCAAUACUUGCUAAUUUCACAUCAAGCAUAUUAUAGUUGAGAAUUUGAACUCACAAUGACAAGACUUGAUUAGGUAACCUGGAAAAGUAGAUAAAUUUCUAGAAACAAAUAACCUACCAAGACUGAAUCAUGAAGAAACACAAAAUCUGAACAGACCAAUAACAGGAAAGGAAAUUGAAUCUAUAAUCAAAAACCUCCCAACAAAGAAAAGUCCAGGACCAGAUGGCUUCCCUGGUGAAUCCUACCAAACAUUUAAAGAAGAAUUAACGCCAGUCCUCCUCAAACUCUUCAAAAAACUUGAAGAGGAAGGAACAUUCCAAACUCAUUUUAUGAGGCCAGGAUCACCCUGAUACCAAAGGCAUGUAAGGAUGGUGCAAGAAAAGACUACCAUAGGCCAGUAGCCCUGAUGAAUACAGAUGCAAAAAUCCUCAACAGAAUACUAGCAAAUGAAUUCAACAACAGAUUAAAAGGAUCAUACACCAUGAUCAAGUAGGAUUUAUCUCUAGGAUGCAAGGAUAGUUCAACAUAGGCAGAUCAAUAAAAAUUAUAUAACACAUUAACAGAGUGAAAGAUAAGAAUCAUAUGAUCAUCUCAAUAGACGCAGAAAAAGCAUUUCACAAAAUACAUCAUUUCAUGAUAAAAACUUUGAACAAAUUGAGUAUAGAAGGAAUGUACCUCAACAAAAUAAAAGCCAUAUAUGAAAAACCCACAGCCAACAACCUACUCAAUGGUGAAAGGUUGAAAGCUUUUCCUCUAAGAUGAGGAACAAGACAAGGGUGCCCACUCUCACCACUCCUAUUCAACAUAGUACUGGAAGUCCUUGCCAGAGCAAUUAGACAAGAAAAACAAAUGAAGGGCAUCCAAAUCAGAAAGGAAGAAGUAAAAUGUUUUCUGUUUGCAAAUGAUAUGAUCUUAUAUAUAGAAAAUCAUAAAGACUCCACCAAAAAACUAGUAAAACUAACCAACAAAUUCAGUAAAUUUGCAGAAUGAAAACUUGAAAUACAUAAAUCAAUUGCUUUUCUAUACACUAACAAUGAAAUGCCUGAAAAAGAAAUAAAGAAAACGAUCUCAUUUACAAUAGCAUCAAAAAAAAUAAAACACUUAGGAAUAAAUUUAAUCAAGGAGGUGAAAGAUUUAUACACUGGCAACUAUAAAACUUUGAUGAAAGAAACUGAAGAAGAAAUAAAUGGAAUAUAUCCCAUGUUCAUGGAUCAGAAAAAUUAAUAUUGUUAAAAUGUCCAUACUUUCCAAAGCCGUCUAUAGAUUCAAGGAAAUCCCUAUCAAAAUUCCGAUGAUAUUUUUCACAGAAAUAGAAGAAAUAAUCCUGAAAUUCAUAUGGAACCAGAAAAGAUCUCGAAUAACCAAAGCAACAAGAACAAAGCUAGAGGCAUCACACAUCCUGAAUUCAAAGUGUAUUGUGAAGCUAUAGUAACCAAAGCAGUAUUAUACUGGCAUAAAAAUAGACACACAGACCAAUGGAACAGAAUUGAGAGCCAGGAAAUAAACCCUUGCAUAUACGGUCAACUAAUAUCUGACAAGGGAGCCAAGAAUAUUUAAUGGAUAAAAGAUAUUCUCUUCAAUAAAUAGUGCUGGAAAAACUGGAAUAUCACAUGCAAAAGAAUGAUAUUGGUCUCCUAUCUUACACGACUCACAAAAAAUUAAUUCAAGAUGGAUUAAAGACUUAAACAUAAGACCUGAAACUCUCAAACUCCUAGAAGAAAACAUAGGGAAAAAGCUCUCUGACAUUAAUCUUGGCAAAGAUUUAUUUGGAUCUAACACCAAAAGCAUAAACAACAAAAGCAAAAAUAAACAAGUGGGACUACAUCAAACCAAAAAGCUUCUGUACAGCAAAAAAAAAAAAAAAAAAAAAACAGCAAAAUGAAAGGGCAACCUAUGGAAUGAGAGAAAAUAUUUGCAAAUCAUAUAUCUGAUAAGGGGUUGAUAUCCAAAAUAUAUAAGGAACUCAUACGACUCAAUAGCAAAAAAAAAAAAGUCUAAUUAAUAAAUGGGCAGAGGAACUGAAUGACAUUUUUCCAAAGAAAACACACUAAUGGCCAAGAGGUACAUGAAAAGAUGCUCAAUAUCACUAAUAAUCAGAGAAAUGCAAAUAAAAAACACAAUGAAAUAUCACCUCACUUCUGUUAGAAUGGCUAUCACCUAAAAGACAAGAGAUAGCAAGUGUUGAGGAUCUGGAGAAAAGGGAACCCUUGUGCACUGUUGGUGGGAAUGUGAAUUGGUGCAGCCACUAUGGAAAACAGUAUGGAGGUUCCUCAAAAGAUUAAAACUAGAACUACCUUAUGAUCCAGCAAUCUCAAUUCUGGGUAUAUAUCCAAAGGACACAAAAUCAUUAUCUCAAAGAGACCUCUGCAACCCCAUGUUUAUUGAAGCAUUUUUCACAAGCCAAGGUAUGGAAUCAACCUAAGUUUUCAUCUACAGAUGAAUGGAUAAAGAAAAUGUGGCGUAUAUAUACAAUGGAAUAUUAUUCAACCAUGAUAAAUAAAGAAAUCCUGCCAUUUACAACAAGAUGGAUGGACCUCAAAGGCAUUAUGCUAAGUAAAAUAUCAAAUAAGUCAGACAGAGAAAGACAAAUACUGUAUGAUCUCACUUAUAUGUGGAAUCUGGAAAAAAAAAAAACUCAUAAAAAGAAAGAGUAGAAUGGUGAUUGCCAGGAGUUGGGGGCUGGGGGAAAUGGGGAGAUGUUGGUCAAAUGGUUAAACUUCCAGUUAUAAGAUAAAUAAGUUCUAGGGAUCUAAUGUAAAGCAUGGUGACUACAGUUAACAGUACUGUAUUAUAUACUUAAAAGUUGCCAAGAGAGUAGAUCUUCAACAUUCUUACCACACACACAAAAAAAGGUAAUUAUGUGAGAGGAUGGAGGUUGCUAAGUAACCUUGUUGUGGGAAUCAUUUAAAAAUAUAUACCUGCAUCAGAUCAUCAUGUUGUACAGCUUAUACCUACUCAAUGGUAUGUGUCAACUAUAUCUUAACAAAGCUGGAAAAAACAAAAUUAAAUAAAAAUAUGUUCCUUAGGUUGCCUUUCAUUCAGAAAGUUCUACAUCCUUCUUUUGUGUAUGGAUUUUGCUUGUUAUCAUACAUUUUCCACACUUACUCAUACCAUUUCUACUAUCUUGGCCAUGCUUAAUUGUGGGAUUGUUUGUUAAAAUUCCUGUUGGUUCUGAUAUAAUAUAGGUAAAUUAUCUCUCAUAGCCCCCUGGGCUAUAAUACUCUUGGUGUAUUGUAUUCUAUAGUUCUAGGAAGUGAGAGUGGGGAAUGGGGAAGAAGAAAAGGCUCUUCUGGAGCGAUGCAGAACUUUUGUUGGUGGAACUUGGCUCCCUCCU